AUUGAACGCUAGCGGCAGGCCUAACACAUGCAAGUCGAGCGGAACGGGGGACGGGUGCGUAAUGCCUAGGUAUCUGCCUGCUAGUGGGGGCUCACGUCCGGAAACGGGCGCUAAUACCGCAUACUAUCAGACGAGCCUUGGUCUGAUUAGCUCGUUGGUGGGGUAAAGGCCUACCAAGGCGACGAUCCGUAACUGGUCCGAGAGGAUGAUCAGUCACACUGGAACUGGGACACGUGCCAGACUCCUACGGGCGGCAGCAGUGGGGAAUAUUGGACAAUGGGCGAAAGCCUGAUCCAGCCAUGCCGCGUGUGUGAAGAAGGUCUUCGGAUUGGAAAGCACUUUAAGUUGGGAGGCGUUACCAGCAGAAGAAGCACCGGCUAACUUCGUGCCAGCAGCCGCGGUAAUUC
rnacentral:rRNA from 1 species